GCCUGAGUCACCAGAGCUUCUGCUAGAAUCCUCUGCAGGCAGGACCCAGGACUCCUUGCAGUUCUGCCUCCCCGCUCCUAUAGCCAGGCUGGAGGGGAGUAAGCCCAUUGGCCUGCACUCUGACUCGAAGUCACCAUGGCGCCACUCUUGUGCACGCACUCUCUCUCGCUACCACACAUACCCCACCACCAUCACUACCACCUGCGGAUGCUCUGGAGAUUCCAGAAAGGAUCUCAAGGACUGGCACCCUGCCCAGUUACGUAACCUGUGGGCUUGCCUUUGCGCAGCUGCUCAUCUGCCCAUCUCCAAGCUGAUCAAACCAUCCCACCUCAUUCCUUGCCUUCUGCAAGGGGAAGUGCCUCAGGCUGGAAUCCGCCUUGUCUAUAGACGGAAUGUGCAUUUUGCCCAGUGGAUUGGAAGGUGCUGGUGUUGGGAUGGACUGAUGACUGUCUUUGGAUGGUGAGUUGCAACCCCCAGCUCCCCAGUGCUCCACUCUGGCUGACUUCUGACCUUGGCAAAUUGCUUCCUCUCUCCCACCUCCUCCAUACAAGGUGGCGGUGACUCCCAUUCCCUCCCUCCCUCACAGGAAAGCGAGGAUUACAAGGGCACACUGUAUCAGAUGUGUCCAGAAGUGGCUUGGCCUUUUGGAGACAGACACAGUUCACAGCUGUGAAGACGGGCCUUCACCAGAGAAGGAAUUCUCUGGGCUGCUACGUUCAGUGGGCUCCUUGCUGGCUGGUCCAGGAAGUCUGGAGUUCAUCCUGAAGGUGGCUGCUGUGCCCAGCGGGUGAUGGGGCUGCCAACACCACAAGAACCAAGAACUAGAAUCUGUUUCCAAGGAACGAACACUCUCUCCCUCUGACACAAAAGCAAGAACAUGAGAUAGCUGUCACCGCCAUUACCCCAUUGCCAAUACAAACACAGCCUCCUAAGUCCCUUGCUAAACAAUCUAGGAUCAGGGCAUCUAGAUUGUCAGAGUGACUCCUCCAGACCCCCAGGUCAUCCCUGGAGUUUUGUGCCCACUGCAUCGGGGUUGUCAUGGCCGGUCCUGCCUGGGCUCCCUUCUCUGAUACCUGUGGGAUCAGAACCACAGACCGUGAGGAGGAAACAGAAACCGUGGCUCUCCACAGGGAAGCCCAGGAGGUCAAGACCACCCACGAGGAGGGUGAGAUGGGAGCUGCCCAGGGCAUCCCUGGAAGAACUCAUCAUGCUAAGGAAGAAACUCCAAAAGCCAGGAGCCCCAAACCUUGGCAGCCCAGGCUCUGGGAGAAACCCCCAAGGUCUGGAGUUAAAGGAUUUUCCUCGUUGACUGCUUGUCUGUCUUUCUUCCCUUCUGGGGCAGUCCUCUCUCCUCCCUCAGCUCAUCCCUGCGUCCCAUCGGAGGGGCGGGAGGAAAGCAGGAGGGGAGAUGGCAGGACCCAGACAGAUCCUCAGGACUCUCCCAGCCUCUGUUGCCAUGGCAAUGCUGCUAUUUUUAUCCCGUGUUGUUCAUGAUGCUCAAAGCUCUGACUUUCUCUGUUCCGCAGAGGCCAGGCUGGCUUCUGCCCUCAUCCUUCAACACAGCACCUUCUCCCAGAGGCCUGAGGAGUGAAAAGAGCGAUGGAGGAAAAGGGAACCCACAAAGUCACCCCUCAGCCAGGGGGAAUGGUUGACAGGGGGUCUGCCUCUGCAGUUUUGAGACUUUGGUUUUCUAUCUGGCUUAGGCACCCAGUUUUAUGUUUUCUGGGAGAUCAGAAUUCCACAUGGUCUCCCUGGGAGGCUGCUCCAGAGAAAAAAAGAAGAGUUGCUGUUCAGAAUGAGUUUUUCCUACACGGCUAUGACUCUGGGGCUGCUGCUCUUCUUGGAAAACCAGACCUAGUUCUGAAGAAUGUCCUGCUGGUACAAGCCAGUCCCCAACCUCUUAAAAGGAGAUAGAGAACUAAGUUUGGUUAAUUAGUCAUCCCUGGAGAAUCCAAACCAAUACUUCUCUAUCUUCUGUCCCCCCACCAUAGAACUAGGACAAGUGGCUUCAUGUCUUUGCCCAGUCUUUCUGUCCAAAGCUCCAUAGCAUAUAUUCUCUGGUCUGGAAUGAGUACUCUUGUCUCCCUAUGCCCCUACCUCCCCAGGCCCAGACAAUCAUUUUUCUCUCCAGGAGCUUGAGGUCUUGAAUCUUGGUGACGCUCUUGAAGAUAGCAUUUAAUGAAAGGAUUUCUUAGAGUGGUUCUUUCUCUGUCUCUUCACCCUGGCCCAGCGUCUGGUCCUCUCCCUCUGUCCCCACCUGAGAGUCAAUGGUGCUAAUGCCCCCCACCUAUACUCUCCUAUGUAGGUCAGUGACAUUUGAACCCAACACCUGGAGUGGCUGUGUUGGCAGGGCAGUGCAUCUCAUGCAUGUCCUGAAGACCACGACCCUGGAGACAGGUACAGAUCUUAACCCAGUUAAGUAGCAACCUAUAUCAUGUUAAACUCCUGCACUGAGGCUCUACCUCGGCUGAACUGCCUCCUGGAUGGCUAAUUUUCCUGGGGUGGCUGGGACCCAUUUACUAAGCCUCUAAUUGGUUUCAUUUUGGCUCAGGUUGCACAGUUUCCCGAAACUAUGCACCUGGAGUAAGCACUUUUCUGGUCGCCACUGAAAAGCAUGCUGGCAAACGCUGCUCUGUUAAUUGCUGUAAUAAACAGACUUUAUUAUA